GAUGACAGUGAUGGGAUUCCCUGGUCAGAGGAGAGGGUGGUGCGGAAGGUCCUUUAUUUAUCUCUGAAGGAGUUCAAGAACGCACAGAAGCGGCAGCACGGCGAUGGCAUCAGCGGGAGCCUCAAGGCAGUGAACGGACUUCUCACUAAUGGCCAAUCUAAAGGAUUAGGACCAGGAUCAGAACAGCUGGAGAAUGAGAAGGACGAUGCAUCACAAGUGUCCUCAACGAGCAACGAUGUUAGUUCUUCAGAUUUUGAAGAAGGGCCCUCGAGGAAAAGGCCAAGGCUGCAAGCACAAAGGAAGUUUGCUCAGUCCCAGCCAAACAGUCCCAGCACAACUCCAAUAAAGAUAGUGGAGCCGUUGUUACCCCCUCCCGCCACUCAGAUUUCUGACCUCUCCAAAAGGAAGCCCAAGACAGAAGACUUUCUCACUUUCCUCUGUCUUCGAGGU